GCAUGGCUGAAUUCUGUAUUACUCUUGAAAUAGUAAAUGCAGUCAGACACCAUGCUAAAUGAAUGAUUUCACACUGACCACACAGCAUGAGAGGAGUGCUUCUUAUAUGCCUCAUUCUUAUGUCAGGGUGAAUACAGCA
rnacentral:snoRNA from 1 species